rnacentral:tRNA from 1 species
GAGGGUACAGCAUGAUUGGUUGGUGCAAUGGCUUGUCACGCCAAAGGUUGCGGGUUCGAUCCCCGUUACUCUCG